UGUUAGGAAGGGUCCCAGGAGGUAGACCCACACAGAUGGGAUUUGGGCAUAGGUUUGGUUUCCCAGGGGGCAGUGCUGAGCUCUUUGCCAGUGGGAAAUGGGAUGCUGGUGAUUUCCAGUAGGUGACCUCACAGUGACUCAAGCUACCACUUACUGUUGAUUGUGACGAAAUGCCAGCUGAGGCACAUGCCUUGGGAGCUAAGUGGUUGCUGCCCUUGACCACUGUGAAGACUGGUGUGGGAAGGGUCGUUUUGGAUGCACUUGAGCAGGGGUCCCCAACCCCUGAGCCAUGGAGCCGCAAGGAGCCACACAGCAGGAGGUGGGAACAUCCAGUUGCGGGAAAACAAGCUUAACACGCCCACUGAUUCUACAUUAUGCUCCUACCUCCCGGCAGCCUCUCCAGGCCCAGAACUUUCUCCAGUCAGCCUCUACAGACCAAGCUCAUGACUCACAAUGGCCUAUUUAGGCCCAUACCCUACGUCACGGCAGCCUCCGCAGAUGAGCCUACUGCCUCACAACAGCCUCCACAGGCACAGCUCCAUCGUUACAAUGGCCUCUUUAGACCCAGCUCCUGCCUCCCAGCCUUCUCUCCAGGCUCUGAACUUUCUCAGUAAGUUCAGGUAGCUGGGACUGUAGGGUCUCCCUCUGUUGUCCAAGGCUGGAGUGUAGUAGUGCUAUCGCAGCUGACUGCAGCCU
rnacentral:lncRNA from 1 species